GAUGAACGCUGGCGGCGUGCCUAACACAUGCAAGUCGAACGGACUUACAUUGAAGCCUAGCGAUAUGUAAGUUAGUGGCGGACGGGUGAGUAACGCGUGGGUAACCUGCCUUGUACUGGGGGACAACAGUUGGAAACGACUGCUAAUACCGCAUAAGCGCACAGCUUCGCAUGAAGCAGUGUGAAAAACUCCGGUGGUACAAGAUGGACCCGCGUCUGAUUAGCUGGUUGGUGAGGUAACGGCCCACCAAGGCGACGAUCAGUAGCCGGCCUGAGAGGGUGAACGGCCACAUUGGGACUGAGACACGGCCCAAACUCCUACGGGAGGCAGCAGUGGGGAAUAUUGCACAAUGGGGGAAACCCUGAUGCAGCGACGCCGCGUGAGCGAAGAAGUAUUUCGGUAUGUAAAGCUCUAUCAGCAGGGAAGAAGAAAUGACGGUACCUGACUAAGAAGCAACCGGCUAAAUACGUG
rnacentral:rRNA from 1 species